rnacentral:rRNA from 1 species
GACGAACGCUGGCGGCGUGCUUAACACAUGCAAGUCGAACGGUAAGGCCCUUCGGGGUACACGAGUGGCGAACGGGUGAGUAACACGUGGGUGAUCUGCCCUGCACUUCGGGAUAAGCCUGGGAAACUGGGUCUAAUACCGGAUAUGAAACCUGCGGGCAUCCGCGGGUUUGGAAAGUUUUUCGGUUGAAGAUGAUCUCGCGGCCUAUCAGCUUGUUGGUGGGGUGAUGGCCUACCAAGGCGACGGCGGGUAGCCGGCCUGAGAGGGUGACCGGCCACACUGGGACUGAGAUACGGCCCAGACUCCUACGGGAGGCAGCAGUGGGGAAUAUUGCACAAUGGGCGCAAGCCUGAUGCAGCGACGCCGCGUGAGGGAUGACGGCCUUCGGGUUGUAAACCUCUUUCAGCAUCGACGAAGCGAAAGUGACGGUAGGUGCAGAAGAAGGACCGGCCAACUACGUGCCAGCCGCCGCGGUAA